GCGCGCGCUGCUGUGGCUUUCCCGGAGCGUUUUACCGGCGGCCGCGCAGAAUUUGCCCUCUUUCGUGGUUGUAGUAAUGCGUGGCUGACAGCACCCAAGGCGGAGACUGCACAAAACCCGUAGGGAGGAGGGGAUCGCUGGGUAGACGUGAUCCUGCAGGAGGGAGUUCACGCGGUCUGCCCCGGCCGUCUUCUCCAGUUUCAACUAGACAAAACACUCAACAGGUAGAGGUUUCAGUCCGU